AGACACAAUGUGAUUUAUUCCCAUUUCUUUGCAUGCCAAAGUGAAGAAAGUCAACCAAGCGUGGGUAAACGACGGGAGUAACUAUGACUCUCUUAAGGUAGCCAGAUGCCUCGUCAUAUAAUUAUUGAUGCACAUGAAUGGAUCAUCAACGAGAUUCUCCAUUGUCCCUAGCUAUUAUAUUAUAGAGAAACCGCAUCCAAGAGAAUGGGCUUGGUAGAAUUAGUGGGGAAAUAAGACCCUGUUGAGCUUGAAUCUAUUCCCAACCCAUUCAUAGUUUGGGAAAAUUAGGGU
rnacentral:ncRNA from 1 species